rnacentral:rRNA from 1 species
UGUGUGUUAGUGGAAGCGUCUGGAAAGGCGCGCGAUACAGGGUGACAGCCCCGUACACAAAAAUGCACAUAUUGUGAGCUCGAUGAGUAGGGCGGGACACGUGGUAUCCUGUCUGAAUAUGGGGGGACCAUCCUCCAAGGCUAAAUACUCCUGACUGACCGAUAGUGAACCAGUACCGUGAGGGAAAGGCGAAAAGAACCCCGGCGAGGGGAGUGAAAAAGAACCUGAAACCGUGUACGUACAAGCAGUGGGAGCCUCUUUUAUGGGGUGACUGCGUACCUUUUGUAUAAUGGGUCAGCGACUUAUAUUCUGUAGCAAGGUUAACCGAAUAGGGGAGCCGAAGGGAAACCGAGUCUUAACUGGGCGUUAAGUUGCAGGGUAUAGACCCGAAACCCGGUGAUCUAGCCAUGGGCAGGUUGAAGGUUGGGUAACACUAACUGGAGGACCGAACCGACUAAUGUUGAAAAAUUAGCGGAUGACUUGUGGCUGGGGGUGAAAGGCCAAUCAAACCGGGAGAUAGCUGGUUCUCCCCGAAAGCUAUUUAGGUAGCGCCUCGUGAAUUCAUCUCCGGGGGUAGAGCACUGUUUCGGCAAGGGGGUCAUCCCGACUUACCAACCCGAUGCAAACUGCGAAUACCGGAGAAUGUUAUCACGGGAGACACACGGCGGGUGCUAACGUCCGUCGUGAAGAGGGAAACAACCCAGACCGCCAGCUAAGGUCCCAAAGUCAUGGUUAAGUGGGAAACGAUGUGGGAAGGCCCAGACAGCCAGGAUGUUGGCUUAGAAGCAGCCAUCAUUUAAAGAAAGCGUAAUAGCUCACUGGUCGAGUCGGCCUGCGCGGAAGAUGUAACGGGGCUAAACCAUGCAC